rnacentral:rRNA from 1 species
AGUGAACGCUGGCGGUAGGCCUAACACAUGCAAGUCGAACGGCAGCACAGUAAGAGCUUGUUCUUACGGGUGGCGAGUGGCGGACGGGUGAGGAAUACCUCGGAAUCUACUUUUUCGUGGGGGAUAAAGUAGGGACACUUACGCCAAUACUGCAUACGACCUACGGGUGAAAGCAGGGGAUCUUCGGACCUUGCGCGAUUGAAUGAGCCGAUGUCGGAUUAGCUAGUUGGCGGGGUAAGGGCCCACCAAGGCGACGAUCCGUAGCUGGUCUGAGAGGAUGAUCAGCCACACUGGAACUGAGACACGGUCCAGACUCCUACGGGAGGCAGCAGUGGGGAAUAUUGGACAAUGGGCGCAAGCCUGAUCCAGCCAUGCCGCGUGGGUGAAGAAGGCCUUCGGGUUGUAAAGCCCUUUUGUUGGGAAAGAAAAGCAGCAGGUUAAUACCCCGCUGUUCUGACGGUACCCAAAGAAUAAGCACCGGCUAACUUCGUG